GAUGAACGCUGGCGGCGUGCCUAAUACAUGCAAGUCGAGCGAACAGACGAGGAGCUUGCUCCUCUGACGUUAGCGGCGGACGGGUGAGUAACACGUGGAUAACCUACCUAUAAGACUGGGAUAACUUCGGGAAACCGGAGCUAAUACCGGAUAACAUGUUGAACCGCAUGGUUCAACAGUGAAAGACGGUCUUGCUGUCACUUAUAGAUGGAUCCGCGCCGCAUUAGCUAGUUGGUAAGGUAACGGCUUACCAAGGCAACGAUGCGUAGCCGACCUGAGAGGGGGAUCGGCCACACUGGAAAUGAGCCACGGUCCAGACCCCCACGGGGGGCCGCAGUAGGGAAUCUUCCGCAAUGGGCGAAAGCCGGACGGACCCACGCCGGGUGAGGGAAGAAGGUUUUAGGAUUGAAAAAUUCUUUCACCGGGGACGAUAAGGCCGGCACCCGGAAAAGAAGCCCCGGCAAACUGCGG
rnacentral:rRNA from 1 species